CAACGAGUCGCAAGACCGCGAGGUUUAGCAAAUACUCUUAAAGCCGUUCUCAGUUCGGAUUGUAGGCUGCAACUCGCCUACAUGAAGUCGGAAUCGCUAGUAAUCGCGGAUCAGCAUGCCGCGGUGAAUACGUUCCCGGGCCUUGUACACACCGCCCGUCACACCAUGAGAGUUUGUAACACCCAAAGCCGGUGGGUAACCUUUGGAGCCAGCCGUCUAAGGUGGGACAGAUGAUUGGGGUGAAGUCGUAACAAGGUACC
rnacentral:rRNA from 1 species